GGGUGUAGCUCAAGUGGUAGAGCGCAUGCUUAGCAUGCAUGAGGUCCUGGGUUCAAUCCCUAGUACCUCCU
rnacentral:tRNA from 1 species